AGGUCACUGCUAUCGGUGUUCGAUUAAGCCAUGCGAGUCGUGAGGGGUAAAGCCCUCGGCGGAGUGCUCAGUAACACGUGGACAACCUACCCCAAGAGUCAGGGACAACCCCGGGAAACUGGGGAUAAUACCUGAUAGGCCAUGACAUCUGGAAUCGAGUUGUGGUUUAAACGUAAGGCUCUUGGAUGGGUCUGCGGCGGAUUAGGUUGUUGCCGGUGUAACGUACCAGCAAGCCUGUAAUCCGUACGGGUUGUGGGAGCAAGAGCCCGGAGAUGGAUUCUGAGACACGAAUCCAGGCCCUACGGGGCGCAGCAGGCGCGAAAACUCUACAACGCAGGCAACUGCGAUAGGGGAACAUCGAGUGGCAUCCACCAUGGAUGUCUGUCCAAUCGUCUAAAAAACGAUUGUCAGCAAGGGCCGGGCAAGACCGGUGCCAGCCGCCGCGGUAAUACCGGCGGCUCGAGUGGUGGCCGAUAUUAUUGAGUCUAAAGGGUCCGUAGCCGGCUUUGCAAGUCCUAUGGGAAAUCCAGCGGCUUAACCGUUGGGCUUUCAUGGGAUACUACAUUGCUUGGGACUGGGAGAGGUAGGAGGUACUCAGGGGGUAGGGGUGAAAUCCUGUAAUCCUUUGGGGACCACCGGUGGCGAAGGCGUCCUACCAGAACAGGUCCGACGGUGAGGGACGAAAGCUAGGGGCACGAACCGGAUUAGAUACCCGGGUAGUCCUAGCCGUAAACGAUGCUCGCUAGGUGUCACGGUAGUCGUGAAUUGUCGUGGUGCCGUAGGGAAGCCGUGAAGCGAGCCACUUGGGAAGUACGACCGCAAGGUUGAAACUUAA
rnacentral:rRNA from 1 species